rnacentral:lncRNA from 1 species
UUUUCUUUUCUUUUUUUUGUCGGCAAAAGUUUUGCCUACUUAAUUAAGAAAAAUAUCUGAAGAUGCAACAUAAAAAUCGUAAGAAAUAUUGCGAUUAUUUUUAAUUUCACAUUUAGAAUAUCUUUUUUUUUUUUUUUUUCAUUUAGAAUAUCUUAUCUAACUUAAGAACUGAAAAACACACGUAACGUUGAAGAUUCACGCAAUGAUUCCGGCGGUUUUUUCCAAAUAUUGCCAUUAGUCCAACCUACCGUUGGUCUUAAUGACGCUCAAGUCAUUUUGAU